rnacentral:rRNA from 1 species
GAUGAACGCUGGCGGCGUGCCUAAUACAUGCAAGUCGAGCGAACAGACGAGGAGCUUGCUCCUCUGACGUUAGCGGCGGACGGGUGAGUAACACGUGGAUAACCUACCUAUAAGACUGGGAUAACUUCGGGAAACCGGAGCUAAUACCGGAUAAUAUAUUGAACCGCAUGGUUCAAUAGUGAAAGACGGUUUUGCUGUCACUUAUAGAUGGAUCCGCGCCGCAUUAGCUAGUUGGUAAGGUAACGGCUUACCAAGGCAACGAUGCGUAGCCGACCUGAGAGGGUGAUCGGCCACACUGGAACUGAGACACGGUCCAGACUCCUACGGGAGGCAGCAGUAGGGAAUCUUCCGCAAGGGGCGAAAGCUUGACGGAGCAACGCCGCGUGAGUGAUGAAGGUCUUCGGAUCGUAAAACUCUGUUAUUAGGGAAGAACAAAUGUGUAAGUAACUAUGCACGUCUUGACGGUACCUAAUCAGAAAGCCACGGCUAACUACGUGC